GUGCUCACUUUGGCAGCACAUAUACUAAAAUUGAAAAAAUACAGAGAAGAUGAACAUAGCCCCUGCGUAAGGAUGACACACAAAUUCAUGAAACAUUCCAUAUUUUU
ensembl:snRNA U6 U6 spliceosomal RNA